rnacentral:lncRNA from 1 species
CUUCACAUCAGUUGUCAACCUUCUUACCGACACCAUUAAGUUUUAGCUUCUACAGGUACACUGAAAACUUGAUAGGCUUUCGUGUUAUAAGCGUCUCUGUUUCUUGGGUUACUCCUCUCUCUGAAAGGUGUCGCAAAAGCAAUAUAAUACUCUGGGGGUAUUGGAUAAAAGUAGGUUAAAAAGAACAUAGCUUUUGUUCUGCAACGAACUUCGCAGACAUCGUUCCAGACCUGAACACAAGCGUGACAUUUUGCAGAGUUGGGACGUGAGCUGGGAAGAAGAAUCUCGAGAAGAAAAUCAUCUAGUCAAAGUGCAGAAAUGGUGGCACCGCACUUGCUGGGGCUGUACCAAGCACCAGAGACGGCAACUGCGAAAAAACCAAGCCAGAAGAGUGAUGUAUAUUCCUUUGGAGUUGUACUGCUUGAAAUACUAACUGGAAGGUCAGCCUUCGCCCAACUGGCUUCAGGCGAACUAGAUCUUGUCACGUGGACUAAGCUGGCACUUCAGGAGAAGAGACCUUUUACCGAAAUUUUUGAUCCUUACUUGGUGAAAGGCAACGUGGACAAGUGCGAGUUGAUCGAAACUCUUCAGGUGAGUAUUUUUGUAGAGCAGCCUUGUUGAUG